AGCCUUCUAUAUCCGUGCUGAGAUUCCGUCACACACCAGACCACAAGGGCUGAUGAGACUUCCAAGAUAAGCGAAGCG
rnacentral:pre_miRNA from 1 species